UCCACUCCUCAAAUAAUGGGAGCAAGUUGGAGGGACGGCUCCUCCUCCUUUUCAGUUUCAGUUAUCAGCCACUUGAGCCCACUGAUCGAUGGCACGUCCAAAACCAGCGCACCACGCCCCAUAUUCCCUCACCAACCUUCACGUCUCCACAUCCAUGGCCGCUCGUCUCUCCCUCUGCAUGGCGGUGCUCCUCGUCUCGCUGAUGCCAUGUGGCGCGGCACAGCCGGCGUCAUCCAACGCCACCGACCUGGCCGCGCUGCUCGCCUUCAAAGCACAGGUCGAGGACUCUCUCGGCAUCCUCACCGGCAACUGGACCGCCGCCGCGUCCCCUUGCUCCUGGGUCGGAGUCUCAUGCGACCGCCGCGGGCAGCGCGUCACCGGCCUAGAGUUCGACGGCGUGCCGCUCCACGGCAGCAUCGCCCCGCAGCUUGGCAACCUCUCCUUCCUCUCCAGCCUCGUCCUCAGCAACGCUAGCCUCGCCGGCCCCGUGCCCAGCGAGCUUGGCGGCCUGCCCCGGCUCCAAAAUAUCGUCCUCUCGCACAACAAUUUGUCAGGUGCCAUCCCCUCCACCCUUGGCAACCGGCUGACGGGAGCGAUUCCUGACAGCAUCGGCUCGUUGCCGAAGCUCGAGUGGCUGGUCCUGGAAGGCAAUCUUCUCUCAGGCCCCAUGCCUCCUGCUAUCUUCAACAUGUCCCGGCUGCAAGUCAUAGCCAUCACAAGGAACAAUCUCUCAGGCCCAAUCCCUGGAAACGACAGCUUCUACCUCCCCAUGUUGGAAGUGUUGUCCCUCAAUGAAAACCAGUUUGAGACUUUGAGGGACCUAUCCCGCCAGGUCUUUCGGCGUGUCGGAACCUUGACACGCUCUCGCUCGCCGUGAAUAAUUUCACCGGUCCUGUGCCAUCAUGGUUGGCGACAAUGCCAAACCUCACAAGAAUUUACUUGUCGACAAAUGGCCUCACUGGAAAGAUCCCUGUGGAACUGAGCAACCACACUGAGCUUCUCGGUUUGGACCUUAGCCAGAACAAACUUGAGGGGGGAAUCCCACCAGAAUUUGGACGGCUGACAAACCUCAGGUUUAUGAGCUUUGCCAACAACCGAAUAACAGGUCCCAUUCCUGAUUCCAUAGGCAAUCUUUCUAACCUCACAACCAUAGAUUUCUAUGGAAAUGGUUUGACUGGAUCCGUGCCAAUUUCAUUUGGGAACUUGCUGAACCUUCGUCGCAUCUGGCUUGAUGGGAACCAGCUCAGUGGGAACCUCGACUUCCUGUCUGCAUUCUCAAAUUGCAGGAGCCUGAAUACAAUCAGCAUGGCAAACAACACAUUCACAGGGAGUCUGCCAGCCUACAUUGGAAACCUUAGCACAGUCCUCGAGACUUUUAUAGCAGAUAACAACAGGAUCACCUUCCAAGUAACUCACAUGCGCAGCAAGAAUAUGGAGUAUGAUCAGUGUCAUUCUUUGAUGGGCGACGGGGCUGCGAGCCUACCGCCCCCUCCUGAUCCGCCGCCGGCGGGGCGAUCGGCGCCGCCGCGGCCUGCUCGGGAGGAGUCGCUGCUGUCGGGGAGGUCACCAGAGGCCGGCAGAUCGCCGGAUCCGCAGACUGCGGCGGAGAUCGGGGGGUUUCUCCAUCCGGCCAAAUGGAAAAUUUUCUUCCAAGAUGUCCGGGAUGGCGGCCGUAGAUCGGAGGGAGUUCUCUACUCGUAUUACCCAUCGAGGUGGACGGUGGUGCGCGAUCUGGAUAGUGACAUCCUCGGAGGGGAGUACCUCAAAGCUGAUGAGGAGAUUAACGAAGGUACGCGGUUGCUCAUUGAUGUUUUUGAUGUUACCGUUCAUUCGCGUGUGCAGGAGGAACCGGAGAUUCUUGAUCACAUUGACUUGAUCGAUCUCACGGAGGAUCCAAAGCCCUCGAAGCCGCUUCUUUCCUGCCGGGCGAUGAGGGGAGCGACUAGCGGGGCGACUCGCGACCCUCCCGUGGCGACCGUCGCCGGCCGCCGGCGGGAGUCGCCGGAUCCCAUUGAGGCGCGCGUAGGAGGGCGUUUCUGGGCGCUAGCGGACUCGGAAGAUGAUGAGGACGACGAUGUUCCGGUGCCGGACUACUCGCCAACACCAUCCGACGUGAUCUGCGAGGCGUUCAAACCAGGAUUCUCGGAGGAAGAUGUCGCUGCGUUGGUGGAUGAGAUCGUGCCCGGAGAGGAUCCGGCGCGGCUAGGCCUGCGUUCCACCGACCGGCUCGAGGUGGUACGCCGGAUUGUUCACCGGAGAACGGCGGCGACGGCGAUCCGACCAUGGAAAGGGCCUCUGCCUAAGGUUUUAUUCCGGACUACGGCUCUGAUUCGUUCAUGGUCGCUACUCACCCAGACGGAGGCCAGGGAGCAUUUGGUUACUGGGUCUGUCCGUUGGGAGAUGGUAGCUCGGGAUAUCUUCAACCGGUUUGGAUGGCGGUCAUGUAAUAGGAUAGGCAUUUAGUAUUCCUAUCUAGUUUGCCCCGCCGGUUGUGGCUCUUUGAUGUGGCUAGCUUGAUGUAUCUAGCUUAUCCGGGCUCUGUGUGAGCUUGUGUUGCUUUCUUUUUUCAUUUUUCAGGACCUUUGGAACCUUGUUGAUACUACUCUAUUUUGUUUAAUAAGAGGGCCGUAUGCAUCAUGCUGAUGCAGAGGCCGGGGUAUCCCCCCU